UCUGAUAUCCUGAACACGGGAUUACGUUUCGGCCGUAAUUGUGAGCAAUGUUGUUGUUCUAUCAGAG
rnacentral:tRNA from 1 species